CCUGAAAGAUGAUUCUAGCAGAACUUGUGGCGGCA
rnacentral:sRNA from 1 species